AUAUGAUUCAUGGUUUUGUAUAAAACUGAAGUCUAAUAAAAAAUUAAUUUAGAAUUAAAAAGACUAGUUAAUGUAUUUUUUUUAAGUUUAGGCUUUCAGUUAACACACUAAUAUAAGUGUGGACCAAAUGUAGAGGAAAUAAAAUAGAAGAGCUAAAUUAAACUGAUAAAACUCCAGUGUUUAUUUUACUAUAAUAUCAUAAGAUAUUCAUAUUUAUUUUGAAAUGCCAAUUACAAUGAUCUUAUUAUCGGGUUUUUUCCUUUUAGAUUAUUGGGUUUUUCUAAAGCAAAUGGGUUAUUUUUUCCCUUACUAGAAAACAUGACUUAUGCUUUCUCCUCUCUUGGAAGUAUAAAUGUACAUUCUUUGUUGAAUGUCCAAGCUACUUCUUUCUUUUGGUACUAGGGAUUGAACUAAACCACUGAGCCACAUCCCCAGCCCUAUUCUGUAUUUUAUUUAGAGACAGGGACUCACUGAGGUGUUUAGCAUCUCAUUUUGCUGAGGCUGGCUUUGAACUCGAGAUCCUCCUGCCUUAGCACCCCCAACCCCAGCCGCUGGGAUUACAGGCAUCGGCCACCAAGCCCAGCCAAGAUACUUC
rnacentral:lncRNA from 1 species